AAAAUAUUUUCAUUUCGGUGAAAUCUAAGUGUUGAGUUCGCUAUUCACAAGACUAGAUUUCAUCCCUCAAGGAUUUUUCCAAGUUCCACAUUUUGGAAAAAUAUAUUCAUUUCGGUGAAAUCUAAGUGUUGAGCUCGCUCUUCACAAGACUAGAUUUCAUCCUUCAAGGAUUUUUCCAAGUUACACCUUUUGGAAAAAUAUAUUCAUUUUGGUGAAAUGGAAGUGUUGAGUUCGCUCUUCACAAGACUAGAUUUCAUCCCUCAAGGAUUUUUCCAAGUUGCACCUUUUGGAAAAAUAUAUUCAUUUUGGUGAAAUGGAAGUGUUGAGUUCGCUCUUCACAAGACUAGAUUUCAUCCCUCAAGGAUUUUUCCAAGUUGCAUUUUUUGGA
rnacentral:sRNA from 1 species